AUGGGAAGGAGGCCUGCUCGGUGCUACCGCCAGAUCAAGAACAAGCCGUACCCCAAGUCGCGGUACUGCCGCGGGGUGCCGGACGCCAAGAUCCGCAUCUUCGACGUGGGGCAGAAGAAGCGUGGCGUGGACGAGUUCCCGCUGUGCGUGCACCUGGUGAGCUGGGAGAAGGAGAACGUGACGAGCGAGGCCCUGGAGGCGGCCCGGAUCGCCUGCAACAAGUACAUAGCCAAGCACGCCGGCAAGGACGCCUUCCACCUCCGCGUGCGCGCGCACCCCUACCACGUCCUCCGCAUCAACAAGAUGCUCUCCUGCGCCGGCGCCGACCGGCUGCAGACCGGCAUGCGCGGCGCCUUCGGCAAGCCCACCGGGAUGUGCGCGCGGGUGCACAUCGGCCAGGUGCUGCUCUCCGUGCGCUGCCGCGACGCGCAAGCGGCCCACGCGCAGGAGGCGCUGCGCCGGGCCAAGUUCAAAUUCCCCGGACGCCAGAGGGUCAUCGUCAGCGGCAAAUGGGGAUUCACCAAGUUUAAGCGCGAAGAGUAUCUCAAGCUCAGGAGGGAGGGCCGCAUCGUCCCCGAUGGUGUCAACGCCAAGUUGCUGACUUGGCACGGGUCGCUCGAGGGACGCCCGCGAGGAAAAGGUGUCUUUCCACCCUCCGUCGCCGGAUCGGCUUGA
rnacentral:rRNA from 1 species